rnacentral:rRNA from 1 species
CCUACGGGCGGCAGCAGUGAGGAAUAUUGGUCAAUGGACGAGAGUCUGAACCAGCCAAGUAGCGUGAAGGAUGACUGCCCUAUGGGUUGUAAACUUCUUUUAUAAAGGAAUAAAACGAGGCACGUGUGCCUCUUUGCAUGUACUUUAUGAAUAAGGAUCGGCUAACUCCGUGCCAGCAGCCGCGGUAAUACGGAGGAUCCGAGCGUUAUCCGGAUUUAUUGGGUUUAAAGGGAGCGUAGAUGGGUUGUUAAGUCAGUUGUGAAAGUUUGCGGCUCAACCGUAAAAUUGCAAUUGAUACUGGCAGUCUUGAGUACAGUUGAGGUAGGCGGAAUUCGUGGUGUAGCGGUGAAAUGCUUAGAUAUCACGAAGAACCCCGAUUGCGAAGGCAGCUUACUAAACUGUGACUGACAUUGAUGCUCGAAAGUGUGGGUAUCAAACAGGAUUAGAUACCAGUGUAGUC